UGAGUGUGUUGCUCAUGGAUGUGUAAAGAUGUAAUCUGGUAUGAUCUGAAACUGGCUGCUGGGUCUGGUUUCUGCCCCCAUGCCAGACAAUCCAGCUCCGUCCCGUAUGUCU